rnacentral:rRNA from 1 species
GCGCAGGAAAAGAAACCAACAGGGAUUGCCUCAGUAACGGCGAGUGAAGCGGCAACAGCUCAAAUUUGAAAUCUGGUCGCCUUAUGGCGGCCCGAGUUGUAAUUUGAAGAGGAUGCUUUUGGCGAGGUGCCUUCCGAUUGCCCUGGAACGGGACGCCACAGAGGGUGAGAGCCCCGUAUGGUUGGACACCGAGCCUAUGUAAAGCUCCUUCGACGAGUCGAGUAGUUUGGGAAUGCUGCUCAAAAUGGGAGGUAAACCCCUUCUAAAGCUAAAUAUUGGCCAGAGACCGAUAGCACACAAGUAGAGUGAUCGAAAGAUGAAAAGCACUUUGAAAAGAGAGUUAAACAGCACGUGAAAUUGUUGAAAGGGAAGCGCUUGCGACCAGACUUGCGCCCGUCGGAUCAACCGUCGCUUGUCGGCGGCUCACUCCGGCGGGCUCAGGCCAGCAUCAGUUUUCCUGGGGGGAGAAAGGCGGUGGGAAUGUAGCUCCUAGGAGUGUUAUAGCCCGCCGCGUAAUACCCGCGGGGGGACUAAGGAGGGCGCAUCUGCUAGGAUGCUGCUGUAAUGGUGGUCAGCGACAAGGUCUUGAAACAAAGCCAACGGAGUCGUCUUUAAAUUAGGGGGCACGGGCGGGGGUCCCGCUGCUGGGAUUGGAGGUAUGGCACUUCACUGCUCGUUCGCGACGCCAUCCGUGGGGUUUCUUU